UCUGUGGAUCGUCACACCAAAUGAAAGUAGUCAGUAAGAAUGAUUAUUCAUUUUUGCGACAAAAUCAGACGGGUUUAAGCAGAAA
ncrna:unclassified sequences RAGATH-18 RNA